UAAGGAAUAUUGCUCAAUGGGAGAAAUCCUGAAGCAGCAACGCCGCGUGGAGGAUGAAGGGUCUAUGACUUGUAAACUCCUGUAAAGAAGGAAAAAAUUCCCAUUUGAUGGGAGAUGAUGGUACUUCUGGAGUAAGCCCCGGCUAACUACGUGCCAGCCGCCGCGGUAAUACGUAGGGGGCAAGCGUUGUCCGGAUUUACUGGGUGUAAAGGGUGCUCAGGCGGAUUUGUAAGUCAGAGGUGAAAUCGUACAGCUUAACUGUGAAACUGCCUUUGAUACUGCAAGCCUAGAGUAUGGAAGAGAGUGAUGGAAUAUCUGGUGUAGCAGUGAAAUGCGUAGAUAUCAGAUAGAACACCAAUGGCGAAGGCAGUCACUUGGUCCAUUACUGACGCUAAAGCACGAAAGCGUGGGUAGCAAACA
rnacentral:rRNA from 1 species